rnacentral:rRNA from 1 species
GAUGAACGCUAGCGGCAGGCUUAAUACAUGCAAGUCGUGGGGCAGCAUGGGGUAGCAAUACUCUGAUGGCGACCGGCAAACGGGUGCGGAACACGUACGCAACCUUCCCAAAACUGGUGAAUAGCCCUCCGAAAGGAGGAUUAAUACACCGUAACAUAACGAAGUGGCAUCACUUUGUUAUUAUAGCUCCGGCGGUUUUGGAUGGGCGUGCGCCUGAUUAGGUAGUUGGCGGGGUAACGGCCCACCAAGCCUACGAUCAGUAACUGGUGUGAGAGCACGACCAGUCACACGGGCACUGAGACACGGGCCCGACUCCUACGGGAGGCAGCAGUAAGGAAUAUUGGUCAAUGGACGCAAGUCUGAACCAGCCAUGCCGCGUGAAGGAUGAAGGUCCUCUGGAUUGUAAACUUCUUUUAUCUGGGACGAAAAAGGGCUUUCUAGCUCACUUGACGGUACCAGAGGAAUAAGCACCGGCUAACUCCGUGCCAGCAGCCGCGGUAAAACGU